UACGGAGGGUGCAAGCGUUAAUCGGAAUUACUGGGCGUAAAGCGUGCGUAGGCGGUUCGUUAAGUCUGUUGUGAAAGCCCCGGGCUCAACCUGGGAAUGGCAAUGGAUACUGGCGAGCUAGAGUGUGUCAGAGGAUGGUGGAAUUCCCGGUGUAGCGGUGAAAUGCGUAGAGAUCGGGGAGGAACAUCAGUGGCGAAGGCGGCCAUCUGGGACAACACUGACGCUGAGGCACGAAAGCGUGGGGAGCAAACAGGGAUUAGA
rnacentral:rRNA from 1 species